rnacentral:rRNA from 1 species
GAUGAACGCUGGCGGCGUGCCUGACACAUGCAAGUCGAGCGAUUCUCUUCGGAGAAGAGCGGCGGACGGGUGAGUAACGCGUGGGUAACCUGCCCUGUACACACGGAUAACAUACCGAAAGGUAUGCUAAUACGAGAUAAUAUAUGAAAGUUGCAUGACUUUUAUAUCAAAGCUUUUGCGGUACAGGAUGGACCCGCGUCUGAUUAGCUAGUUGGUAAGGUAACGGCUUACCAAGGCGACGAUCAGUAGCCGACCUGAGAGGGUGAUCGGCCACACUGGAACUGAGACACGGUCCAGACUCCUACGGGAGGCAGCAGUGGGGAAUAUUGCACAAUGGGCGAAAGCCUGAGGCAGCAACGCCGCGUGAGCGAUGAAGGCCUUCGGGUCGUAAAGCUCUGUCCUCAAGGAAGAUAAUGACGGUACUUGAGGAGGAAGCCCCGGCUAACUACGUGCCAGCAGCCGCUGUAA